UCCUAUGUGGCUUGAGAGCCUGUAGUAUAUUUUCCUACACACAAAUAUCAAAAUUCAAUAAAGCUUUUAUCUCAGUGUGAUGCCAUUUCCUUCAGAGACAGUACUUCUUUAAGGUGGGUGUGGAGUAAGUGUGAUUGUUUUGCCUUUUCUCUCUCUUGUGAUUGCCAGCCACUAAUUCCACAUGAAAGUUGUGGUCAAACCUGCAAUGGAGUAGGCCUCGUGGGGACAUCCAUUAAUUUGUCCAUUGGUUUCAUUGUUGCUGACAUUGCUGUGGCAAAUAUAUGUGUGUACCUGUGUGGGGAGGUUUGUUCAGAAAAGUUUAUUCAAACCACCUGCUUGAUGAUGUGCUCAUUUUAUGAGACCACUGUUAAUUCUGACACGUUCCUUGUGGUUCCUUCAGCUGGGCAGGAACCACUUUCGUUGUCUUAAAAGCCCUUUUUCAAAUUGAUUUUUGAGAGAAGCAUAAGGAAAAGCUGAUUUAGUGACUAAUGUCACUGUAAGAGUCAGAACAGAAUUUUAAAAUUCGUUUUCCAUUUGUAGGGAGGGUGGUGUGAUUUUUUUUUUAAAAAAAAGCUCAUUGGUGCUUAAUACACCUGUCUUAGUUCUUGAUUGAUGAAAACCAUGAGAAAUUGCGCAGUUGAUACUCAGCAGCUCACUGUCAUGAUGUGGUGGUUUGAAGGCUGCAAAGAAUAGGGUGAUGGCUGCUUACAGCCUAUUUCAUUGCAAGGCUGUUUACCUCUGACUUUAGUUUGACGGCUUUUUCUCCCCAUCCUCCCCAUACCUUGCAUUUGUCCCUUGGUUGCUUUCUUUGGUUGUCUGGCUUGGCUGUUGACAGUGCUUAAAAUGAGGAGCAGAGGAGGAGACUACCUGAUUACAUUGGCAUUGGGCAGUUGCUAAUCUGUUCCUAGUUCCCAGUGUCUAUUAGUAGUUAGCUUUAGGAGAGCUCCCUGUUGCAACUUAAUUUGCCAGAGGAAGCAAUUUCUUCAGAUUCUCUCUCCUAUCUGCAUAUAAUUGUUUGAAAUGCAAGGUAAUAGAAUUUGGACAAUGACAGCUAUCCCCAAAGACCUACGAGAGCCUCCCAAGAUAUGAAUACAUAAAAAAUAAUCUGAAACCUUCAUAAAGGACUAUUAUAAUGCUUGCUAUUCUUUCGAUUUUUCUGAUCUUAGUGGGUUAUUGUUUACUAAAUGUAUGCAUAUAUGUAUUAAUGCUCUGAAAUAAUUUAAGGCAAUAUUAAAAUUGUGUAUGUAAACUCAUUCACCCAAUCCCUCUGUGCCCCUCUGUGAGGAAGAUGGGGAGUUAAUAAGUUUAAUAGAUAGAUAAAUGAAUGAAACCUGCACACUCUAAAAUGAGGAGGAGGGGAGGAAGAAAGAGGAGGAAGAGUUGGUGGUGGUGGUAGAGAAGGAGGAGGAGGAGAUGAUGAUGAUUGAGAAGGAUUCUCUACUUAUUUGCUUCCUAAUACAUCUUUCUUGGCAUGGCAUUUAAAGAGGAGCCUUCAAGGCUGAUCUGAAAGUACAGAUAAAAGUCCUGGAAUUGAGCAUUGGUAACUCUAAAACAGUAUAUCUCAAAAGACGUUCCUUGUAUAUCCUCGGGAACUCUGAAACCAUUCAAAAUGUCACAUUAGUAUCUUACAUCACAUUAACAAAAUCUCAUGAUGUUUCAGUUUUGUGGGAGUUAGGACAGACUCUGUACUGAGCCCCGGCUGUUGUCUAUAAAGAGACAGCAAAGUAUUGCUGUGAUGUAAAGAACUUCUAGUUUCAGUUGACAGCCCCAUAAUGUCAUUGUAAAUAAAUGAAAUUUCUGGACCCUUCGCAAACAUAACCUCAUAUACAACAUAUUGCAAUAAUCCAAAAAUAAAGGGCGUCAGUUGAAGUAUCUUUAGCAGUUCAAGCAUUAUUUCUUGGAACAGUUUUUGAGUUAGCCCCAUUAAGUUUUGCUUCAAUUGUGCUAAGUAAUUUAUAACUCUCUUUAGAACUGAUCCCAUAAUUUCCUUUGGAAUCCAUAUCAGUUUUUCCUUCUCCUCUUCCUCCUCCUCUUUGGGGAAAGUGGUAGAGAUGAGAGAUUAAAACUUGAAAUAAUUCAGUUCUUCUCCAUACCUCCAUGGAAAAUGUGUUACAGUCUCUCUAAAUGUUUCAGGCUAUAUUCAUAGUUCAUCCAGACAAACUAAAUCUGGAAUUACGCAUCUCCAGCAUGAGUGUUGCUUUUUGAGAUGAAAUGUUGACACUUUUAAUAGAAUUUGUUGUGUGCCUAUGCCUGUGUGAAUGCAUGUGGGGUAUGCAAAUGUGUGCAUGAAUAAUAUGUAUAUAUUUUUUAUUCCUUUAUAGCUAAUUUGAGGCCUUUAUAGUUUAAGUCCCUGCAGGAGAUUGGUAAUGAUGACUGGUAAUAGGUCUCCCACUGAUACUCAUUUUUUGUGCUUUCUAUACUAUAUUUCAUUGUCACUGUUUGCAAAUGUAUUGGUUAUUUCCAUUGCAGAAACUGUUAUCCUGCGCUGCUUCUCUUUCAUUUGGUCAUCCACAACUGCAUCAUUUUAUUGAGCAUUUCAAAAAUGAAAUAAAAUGAAAUGCAUUUUUUGAUUAAUUUCCGAAUACUCUCUGGUAUAUUUCUGGUCAUUUUGGAGAUCUUCCUUUCCUAUAACUAUUUAAUAAGAAGUAAUCAAAUAGCUGAAAAGAAAGAUUUGCUUUCAUGAAAAAGUAUUGAAAGAUUAACUGAUUUUGGAAUACUUAAUUGUGUAUUUUGUGUACUUCUCAAAUUGGGGGUGUUCCCCUACAGGAUAUGUCAAAGGGGAUACUGUAGUCCUGAAUAUGUAAUUAGUGACUGGAUUAUUAAAAUAACAAAGGGAGCUGUCAAUCUAAAACCUGUGGUUAUAAAUCCCGGCCUGCAUCAUGAUAUAGAUUCCUGUUUUAGUGCAUGUGAGGCCCCUCUUAUAUCUGUAAUUAUUUUCUGUGGCCAGCACAAUGAAGAGGCAGAAGGUAGCAUAGGAACCUGGUGUUAUACAACUGUUCCCUCCAUUUUUCAUGUUGAUGUUUUAGCUGGAAAAAUCAUUGGACAAUAUGCUUAUUUGGCCUUGAUGAACCUUUGAUUGCAUGCCAUCAAGUCAAUAUCAAAUCUUAGUGAUCACAUAGAUUUUCUCCAGGAUCACUUAUCAUUGCAAUCAUUAAGCCCUUCAAUUUGCUAAUCUUGCACAGUUCUAUUUUUAACUCUUCUCUUUUUGUGUAUUAAUCCCUGCAGAUUCAACUAAUAGUGGAUCAGCUAAAUCAAAGGCUUCAUGUGGCUCACGGAAAGAGCACUAUCAUAAAGAGAUGCUUGCCAUCUCCUUCAUCUCAGCCGUCAACCGCAAGAGGAAGAAGCGGAGAGAGGCCAAGCGUUUUGGGAGCAGCACAGAUGAUGAUUCUGAGCAUGAAUCAGCUGUCAAGAGAGACGAGGAGGAGGAGGAAGAAGUGGCUCAGGAGGAAGAAAGAGAGGCUGAAAGAUUGGGGAAUAGCAGCAGAGCUCCAGUUCCUGAUGUGCAGGAUGUCUUCCAAAGCCGGGCAAAAUUAGAAGCAGAGCAAGUAGAAAGAAAAGUGGCACCCCGAGGAAGCCCAGAGUUGGCCCUGGAUGCCCGCUCAAUUGUUUCAGGUUACUCCACUCUGUCUACCAUUGAUCGCAGCCUAUGCUCUGAGGUGCAGUCAGUAGCAGAGAGCCGUGGGGAGGAGGCAGAUGAUGAGCGGAGUGAAUUUAGCCAUGUGGAGACAGAUACUGAGAAUAGCUUUGUGCCAAAACAGCCUGGGAUGCUUCCCAAAGGAGCUGGUGUGGCAGUAGUGGAGGAAGGGGGGGCUGCUGCUUCUGAAAAGAUAUCACACAACCGAACCUCCUUUAGUUCCCAUCACCUCAUGCAGUGUGACACUCUGGCACGGCGCAAGCUUUUGCGGCCCCGACACAAUAGUGAGUCUUCUUCCAAGGGUAGCACUGAUGUCCCAAGUUCCAGUUCCCCAGGCAGUCAAGAGUCAUUGCAGCCUGUGGGUGCCCCUGAGAUCCACACCCGGCUUUCCCUCACAGAACAACUUCGACUCCGCCUCCGCGGCUCUGCAGAUGACAUGCUGGCUGUGCGCCUGCGAAAGCCACACUCACCUGAGACACGGCGCAAGAAGAACAGUUGGCGGCGCCAUACUGUAGUGGUCCCUGGUGGUCUCAAAGACCUCAAUUAUGAGUGGAAGGAACAACAUGUAUUGGGGACUACUGAGGCUGGUCCACUAGACUCCUCAAAUAGAGGUGCGCUAAGGGACAACAAAGACUCUGGGCUUAGCAGCCUAGAGUCAACUAAAGCUCGGUCUUCCUCAAUCACACCAGGGAACAUGACAGUUCCUAACCAGCAGAGUGAGCCACAGCAUCGUAAAGGCAGCUCUGAGGGGCGUUCAGCUCCCCGACGUACAGCCUCUUUACGUUUCCACCAAUGUCUUUAGAUAGCCUUUUGUUGAAGCUCUUGUAGAAUGGAUGAAAGGAAAACUUGGCUUGCCCAUGGUAACAGCCUUGUCUUGAGAAUGGAGGAGGGUGCUCACAGGUGCAGCCACACUUGAAAGUUCCAGUACUGGCCUUACUUUGUCUUUUUUCAUACCUCGAUCUGCAGUGGAGCAAGAAACUCUCCUCCUACCUACCCCAUACUUAUCUUUGCUUUCUAAUUCCCCCAGAUAUUAAUUUAAUCACAUCAUGGUUUUGUGAUUUGUGAAUUUAUUUAUUCUCCUCUUUCCUUAUCCCCAGGAUGGCAGUCAAAAACGAAACAAAACAAAAAAGCUGAGACAAAAUCCAUCAGAUUGAGACUACCCAGUUCCAUGUGAAGUAGAGUUGGACUGCAAGCUAAAGUGGUGGUUUAUACUUCAAAAAUUUCAAUUGAAGUCAAAGUAUUACAGAAGUGCCUCCUUGGUGCUGUCAAAUGGCAGCUGUUUUUUUAUAUGCAUCUGGUGUGCAACAUAUGAAAAAAGGACAGAGCUAUGAUCAUCUACUUGCAGCUACCAUGUUGACUUCUCUUCAAGCCCUUCUUACAAGCAUACCUGUUUCAUUUUUUAAAUUUUUUUUUUUUGGUUCUGAGGGAGACGUCCCAAGUUGUCUAUAUGUGCCUUUCACAAGAAGACUUCUUUCCCUAUUUGUUACAGGCUCUUCAGUGUCUGGUGGUUGAAGUGUUAGCCUAAGGGGUGGUCAGUAAAUGUAUAAAAUGUAUUAAAAUAUUUCAUUGAGGUAAACCAUCUUAAAAACUUCAAAUUUUAACUGUUCACGCGACUCCCUUAUUGCGUCUGCUUGAAGAACAUUCUGUGAAACUUGAAAGCUCACCUAGGAUUUAGGUAAUUGCGUGUCUCCUCUUCAAAAAGCCCAUCUAUCUUCUAGUGUUGGCCUGUUUGUGACUAUGAAAGUCGAUCCCUAACAGGAUGUAAAGGACUUAAACUCUGUGCUAUUGGAAACAUAAAAGGAAGGUAAACCACAAGGCACCAAAACUACAACUUCCCUAGCAGGUGUACAGUUUGUGCUGUAUUUGAAGAAGCAGAAAAUUUGUCUCUGCUUUGCUCUGUCUUCCAUGUGUUCUAAAUAUGUGUCUUACCACAAUUCCAUUGAAACUUUGAAAAGGAGCAUGUAGAUGUGUGCAGGUGUGGAAUUUAAAACUGAACAAAAUUAAGUAGUUGGCUGUACUGUAAUACGUUGUCCUUAUCCUUUUAUGCAACUAUGUGCUGUAAAGUUUUAUUCACAUUUUUCACAUUUAUUUUGUAAAUAGCUUUUACAUGUGUAACAUAUGAUAAAGAGUUUAUAAGGAUUUUAAGGGGAGUGGGGGAAGCCCAAGACUUUUAUUAUUUUUUUCCUUUUUAAAAUGGAAGUUAUACAACCGUAGAUAUUUUGGUGGUGUUUUUUUUUAAAUAGAAAAAACAAAACUUCCUUGCAUGGUUUGUCCCUCUUUUCAUCUUUAUGUUGUAUAAUAUAUAUGGUCAAACAAAACAAUUCUGCUUUAAAUAUAGCCCCAAAAUUACAAUUAUAUAUAUAUUGGAAAUAAACUGCCUUAUUCAAAAAACAAGUUUGCUUACUUAUUUAAAGCAUAAGCUCUAGCUAGUAAAACACACUAUGGAUUAAUAGUGUUGAAAGUAUGCUAUUAGAUGUGAUUUAUUUGCAUCAAUUACCAAUUAUCCAUAAGCAGAAGUUUAACAAAAGAAAGUUCUCUUCACACUCCACUGUAAUACAUUAAAAAUAAACACAUUAUGAGAUCCCUACUAUUUUAAAUUAUGCAGCUUCCACAUAUUACACAGUUGAUAUUUUUCCUGCACGCAUAUGAAGCAUUAGUGAAUUAUAUCAGGCACUGAAACUGUACAUAAUCAUAUGGGAACUCUCUUCUUGUAGCUUCAGAGGGUUUAUCAAACAUCAAUUAAAUUUCAAGAUUUUGCAACAAUAAAAUGUAGAAAACUGUUAAUGGUAACAGCAAGUCAAUUUUACUAUUAAUCUAAAUAAAACAGAAUUUAGAUGUUAAUUUUAAAAAAAAGAUCUAAUCUGGAAUAAAUUUGGAGGAGUAAAUUAGUGUGCAAUGAUGCCUUUCUCCUUUUUCCACUUUUGGGCCUCUUUUUUUUUACUUGCUCUUCAUCUUCUGCUUAUAUGUCAGUCUAGCUUCCUUUUCUUGAGCUCUCGACAGAGCAGCAUGGAUGUCACAAAAAUGAGGGCAUGACAUAAUGUGCUCGUAUCUCUCCAUCUAAGAGCUUAGAAAACAGAAAGUGGGCAGUACAUCAUAAAAGAUAAACCCUCAUCUUCUGGUAAGCUCCAAAUCUGGAAAUCAGUCAAUAAGAAGUGACAAUGUAAAGAAUAUGGUGUUUAUACAGUUUAUACACUCCGCAAAAGGUGCACAUAAGAACAGCUUAGUAUUUAACAUGCUAAUUUAUAAACUAAUUUAAACCCAAGGAUUGAAAAUCAAAUAGAAAUACAGUGUAGAAUUCCUUCCUACAGCAGGGGAGAUGGUCUGCAUUCAGUCCUGAUUGCUGCCAAAAUGUCACCUCUGGGUCAACUCUCCCUUCUUUACCUUUAAGCCAGCCUGGAAAGAUCCUUCAAAGACCAAAGACUUCUUCAAACAGAGGACACAGCUACUCUUGUUCCUGUUCCAUCUGCUCAACUUCUUUGGUUGUAUGGAAUCCGAAAUACCUGCCUCUAAGCAAAACUGUAAAUCACAUUUAUUUUAAAGAAUAACCCUUAAAACUGUUAAUUCGCAUCUGUUGUUUUUUAAAGGAGUAACCCCUUAAGAAAUAAACCUUAAGAAAAGUAUUAUGGGGAGGAAAGAGUAUUUUAUUAAAUUCAGACACUCUGCUAGAAAACACCAGAAAUAGAAAAAAGGAAAAAGGAAAAAAUUAAAGGAAAAAAGCAACCUUCCUUCAUUUGGAAUUUCUGACAAACAAAGAUCACAGUUGUCACAGAAGAAAACAUGGCAUAAAAUUUAUACAUAGGACUCUACCUACAGAUAGCAGAAAAGAUUUACAAAACUUACAGUGUAUUUCAAGACUGCUUGUUUCAGUAACCAGUUUUGGUAUGGUAUCUUUUUUUUUAAUAUAGAGUGGUCUAUUGUUUUUGUUUCCCUUUUAAAAAAAACAGUACAUAAUAAAAUCCAUGCGAAAGAUAUGUCAUCAGUCCUUCAUACACAGUGCUCAAAGAUUUCUGUUUUAUUUAUUUUUUUAACCUUUUUUUUUUAAAGUGCUUAAAACAACAACCAGACAAGUAAAGCGAGGCUCAUGGCAUGCAGUGGUGAUCGCUUCCCCCACAACACGCACAUAUACCUAUUACAUCAAAAGUACAUGCAUAGCUUGGUGCUUUGUAACUUAUAUUUUUAAAUUUGACACAGACACACGCACGCACGCACUCACGCGCACCCACCCACACACACUUUUAUUUUAAAUAAAAGGAAAGCAGACUUAUUUGUGAAAGUUAAUUUACUGUGUUGCUCAUUUGCAGUUUGAUGUGACACAUUCAUAUAUACAUACAUUGUGCCACGUACUUAAAGGACAAGUGUAUUUUUAGGCAAAUGAAAGGAUCUAAAACAUAAUUGCUCUGGAGAUCACUGCCUUCCCACUUACUGAUUUUUAAAGCUGCCUUAACAAAGAUUAUUGGCAGGAUUUGUUAACCUGAUGAUCAUGAGCUUCAAUUUUGCCUGAAGAAAUCCUUUGUCCGAAGUGACUUUUAUGCACACCUCAUGGCAGGAAGUGGUCACUUUAGUGCCUCCCAGCUAUGGUAAACAUUUCCCAUAUGGGUCGAUUGGGCAGAUGGAGUUAAUAAAUGGUUUGUAAAGACUGGGAGACUGGGCAUUACUAGAAUCUGUUUAUAUGCAGGGUUGCUCCAUGGUUAUGGCUUUGCUUUAACCCAGAGAAGAAAACUUAUUUGAGUGCUGCCUAAGCUUUUUAUGAUUCUUUCAUUCUACUCUUACAGAAACUUCCUAGUGACUUUGAUUCCUACCUUGUGAUGACAUAGAAUAUCAGUUGAACUUUAAAAAUGCUGCAGUUGCAAAAGUUUCAAAGUCAUGCCUAGCAUGGGGUGAAAAAUGCUUAUUCUUUUAAAUGAAAUCAAAUAAAAAUGAACUGAGACAGAUGAAGAAAACUAUUGAAAGAGCAGUUGAAAUACUGUUUAAAAUGCUGAAAACCUUAAAAUGUAGAGAAUUUUUUCUUCUCUUUCCACAUCAACAAAGAUGAGAAUUAUAUAGCUGCAAUGAGUGAGUCGUUAUGAUUCCAAAAAUGAUGGCUUUUUUCUAUGCAUUGUGACAAAUUGUUGCAAAACAACAGAGACAGGUCUAUUAUUUUUUUUUUUUACUCUGAAAAAACAUUUUCACACCUGCCUUUUAGGACAUCUUUUCUUGCCACGGAUUCCUUCUACCUGUUGUAAAGAUUCCUUACAACAUUUUAAAUAAAUACUAUAGACAGUUUCAGAGAGACUGCAGCAUGGAUGAGCUAGUUUGUUGGUGUCAGAAUGACACUGAGUAUGCUAGUAUUCUCCAACUAUCUCAGCUCACAUGAUCCUCCAUCAAGAUGACUGUGAAUUAUGUAAUUUGUGGUGUGCUAGGGGAAUUUUGGUGAAAUUUACUGCUUUUAUGUGGUUCUCCAGAAUACAGUUUGAAAACCACAAUUCCAUAAAUGCUGGACUGGAGCAAGGCUUUGAAUCCAAUGAUACUAAUUUUCUAUAAUAGCACAAUUAAUUAUUGGGUCACUUAAAAUAGCAAACACAGAUCUUAUUGUUUUGGACUGUGGUCUACCCAAACAGUAGAAUAUUCAAAUGUCUGAUAGGCAAGGGCUUUCCCAGAGUUUCUACCCAGAUCCCUUUAAGCAACAAUGCCUGAACUUGAGCCUGGGGCUCUGGGCAAGGCAAUGCACACAAUUUAUAUCAGAGCUAAAAGUUCUUCACGAAUCUAAACUAAGAAAUAGCUGUUUUUGUUCUCAGCAACAAAGGGUUGUUAUAGUUUUCAAAAAUUAUUUUAGUUUGGAACCAUCAUUAGAAUGCUACACAGAGGGAAUAUGCCAAUAUAUGAUUAGAAGAUUAGAAGAAAAUGACUUUGAAUACAUUGAAGAGAAUUAUAUAUGUUAUGCUGGCAUGUCCGUCAUUGAGAAAGUGUAUUCACUAAUACUUCAUAGAGUAAAUUAGGCAUUCUAUAACAUAAUUUGCAACUUUAGUACUCUCUUUUGGAUAUAUAUCUUCUGUUGGUGUUGCAGAAGAAUUUUAAUGCAUGAUAAUGGUUACAUAUGUAUGAAAAAUGAAGUAAUAAAAUGGGUCUAUAAAAUGAUGUAAGAUAAUAAAAUCAUACCAUUUCAGUUUUUUCACACAGAAUAGCAUGAUUUGAAUUUUCAAAUAUUUAGCCAGACUAAUGAUGUAGCAUAGUGCAGCAUAAACCAUACGGGCAGUAUGCAUCUGUUGGACAUUUUCUAGGGGGAAAAAAUCUUGGUUUUCCAAUUAAAAAAAAAAGAUGCUUAGACACAAUCCAGCUUGUGUUUGUCCAGAUAAUACUAAAGGGUAAUAUAAAAAAUAAAGCCAAUAUUCCAAUGCUGAAAAUUAGGUAUUUUCCACUCCUGAUAGAAUGCUGAGCAUUAGAUAGCAAAAACUCAGUUGGGAGCUCGUUAUGAAGAAAAGGAGAGCUAAGGUGCUCCCAAGCACUUCCACCUAGGGCUGGUUAAGUUAGUCCUAAUCCUAAAACUUUAGGCAAGCUUUUGGCAUGGAAUCAGGUGUGAAGGUAGAAAGAAGGUGACCCUUUUGUAGUUUUAAACUGAAUUUUUAACUGCAUUGUUGUUUUAAUUAUUUGUAUUGGCAAUCCUGAAUAAUAGUCAUGGGCAGAAAUAUUAUGCAUAAAUCAUUUAAAUACAAAUACAGAAAAUAAUUUGGCCUAAAAUCUAAUUGUUGUAGGUCUAUCAUUUCCAAGAUAAGGUUUCUUUAUCUUAUUUUCUAAUAGGAAUUGUUUUAUUUAACCACAAGAUAACAUUUUACUGUGGGAUAAGUAUAAGAAAUCUAUAGCUGGCAUGUAACUGUCCCAAAACCUAUACUCUAGUCCAAUACAUGGCACAACUUUUCUUUUUCUGAUGCAGAUGGAGGAAAUGCAGUAACCUAAGACUUUAAUACUUUCUACAAUUUCAUCAUCAGAACCCUUAAAAGAAAAAACUUAAAAUCCUACCUCCACCAACACACUCAGAAAUCCAAUAUAUUGUUAAAUUAGGGCUCUCUGUAGCCCUAAUUAUCGUAAAAUAAUUAAGGGAUCAAAAAUUUGGCUCCUGGUGCAUAAAAUUUGCCUCUCGUGCUCUAGGGAAAUAGUUUUAUGUGAUGUUGACUUUCUCUUGAUAUGUUGCUUAAUUCCUGUAUCUUCAUAUUGUAAAUUUGCAACAAGGAUAUCAUGUGCAUAACUAAAUAUUCUAUACUAAGGAAUAGCCUGGGCAUAUAUGAGAAGGGUAUAUGACACAUGCAUGUUGAAAUCAUAUAAAUGCCAUUACUUUAUGUGGUUGCAUCAAAGAGUGUGAUGUAAGAAUGCAAUCAUGAUGUUAUCACAUGUGCUUUGUCAUUUUGCUCUCACUGAUUUCACACAGAUGCCACUAUUGUAUAGGACAGUGAUCCCCAACCUUUCUGGCUCUAUGGUCCGGCAGCCACAACACAGGGGAGGGAGAAGGGAUGGUUUCACACAUGCGCCCACCCUUGCCCAAAUGGACCUUCAUGCACUUGCAUGCUUGCCCACUGCUUGCUUGGCCUGGUUCCCAAUAGGAUGGGGACCCCUGGUAUAGGAGUUUUUGAACCCCUUUCCAUAAUGUAUUAUAAUAUGCUCUUUGUUUUUCAAAGACAUUACAGCAA